UGUUUUCGGAGGGCAUGAAACGAUGUAGCACUGUUUCUAUGGAGAUUAAAUAAAGUUCCGGACGCUGAUUGCUUGUUGGUGUACAAAAACAGCAACAACUGGGCCCGGGUCUGCGCGAUGGACACGGAGUACCUGAAGAGGUCCGUGGGGAAGUGCCUGGUGGAGGGGCUGGCCGAGGUGGCGGAGCUCCGACCCAUGGACCCCAUCGAGUACCUCGCUCACUGGAUCUAUAAAUACAAGGAGAACCUGGACUACCAGGAAAUGAGGAAAAUACAGCAGCUGCAGCUGGAGCAGGAGUUGCAGCGGGCCAGGGCUGAGGCCGCACUCCUGGAGAGGAUGAAAGAGGAGGAGGACAAGAUCCGCCAAGCGGAGCGAGAGUUAGUGAAGGACGCUGAACCUGUCUUACCCCCAGAUAAGACAUUAGCAUCACUCUCAGAUAAAUAUGGAGCUCCUAAUCUUCCGUCUGUGGAGGAAAGAGAUGAGAGCAUUGCUGAACAAGGGGUGUCUGAAAGUGCCACAGUGGAUUCCACUCAGUCCAUUCAGGCAGAGCCAGUAGAGCCAGAGAGUGAGGCUGUCAAAACAGAGAACUCCUCUGAGGCAGAGGGGCACUCCGAAAUGGCACAGGGAACACCUGGAGAAGUGACCUCUGAGGACCACACUGAAGAAAAGGCAGGAAAUAAAUCUGAUUCUGCUGAACCUACUCAACCUGUUGAAGCUGCAUCUGCAGCAGAGUCUGAGAGCCAGCCUUUGGAAACGGAGGAAUCUCCCUCCUCUGAUCUGAACGACCCUGCCGAAACAGCACAAAACAAGGUUUCUGAGGAUUUGGGUGAAAAGGAGCAUUAGAUGCAGCAAACCCAGUCCCAUGCAGCCCACUGAGGCAGAACCAGCAGAGAAUAGAAACUUGAAAAGAGGAAGUUGAAGAUGGACAAAAAUAAAGAAUAAAGCAUUGCCGUAUUGAUGCAAUCUCCAAUAUCUUCAUUGUCUUCAUAUUUAGUAAUCUUUAGAUCUCCAUGAUACCACAAAAGAUUAAACAUACAUGUACAGCAAAUAAUGACCCACUUUUCCUAUAUUUCUUUGUGUCACAUUAUGCUUGUUUGUGAAAAUAUCUGCAGUAAUUUAAAAGAUUAAAAAUUGCGAAUCAA